rnacentral:misc_RNA from 1 species
GAUUCAGCAGCAAACAUCAAUUUUCACCUCAUCAUAAAAGAAAUUAGGAUUUCACAUCUGUAUCUCUCAAUUUCGCGGCAAUCAACAUAAUGGAUGUGAUGGAGAGAAGCAGAGAUUCACCUGGAUAUGAACAGAAACUUCGAGAGGACUACGAACAGAGCUCUGCUGAUGGGGAAGAGGAAAUGAGGAGUAAAGGCGAACGGUUAUACGCUCGUUUUGGGCGAAGAAGGACAAGAACCGAAGAACGCCAAACUCAUAAACGAGUCAGCUAAGACCCUG